rnacentral:rRNA from 1 species
AGAGUUUGAUCCUGGCUCAGGACGAACGCUGGCGGCGCGCCUAACACAUGCAAGUCGAACGAGAGAUGAGGAGCUUGCUCUUCAAAUCGAGUGGCGAACGGGUGAGUAACGCGUGAGGAACCUGCCUCAAAGAGGGGGACAACAGUUGGAAACGACUGCUAAUACCGCAUAAGCCCACGGCUCGGCAUCGAGCAGAGGGAAAAGGAGCAAUCCGCUUUGAGAUGGCCUCGCGUCCGAUUAGCUAGUUGGUGAGGUAACGGCCCACCAAGGCGACGAUCGGUAGCCGGACUGAGAGGUUGAACGGCCACAUUGGGACUGAGACACGGCCCAGACUCCUACGGGAGGCAGCAGUGGGGAAUAUUGCACAAUGGGGGAAACCCUGAUGCAGCGACGCCGCGUGGAGGAAGAAGGUCUUCGGAUUGUAAACUCCUGUUGUUGAGGAAGAUAAUGACGGUACUCAACAAGGAAGUGACGGCUAACUACGUGCCAGCAGCCGCGGUAAAACGUAGGUCACAAGCGUUGUCCGGAAUUACUGGGUGUAAAGGGAGCGCAGGCGGGAGAACAAGUUGGAAGUGAAAUCCAUGGGCUCAACCCAUGAACUGCUUUCAAAACUGUUUUUCUUGAGUAGUGCAGAGGUAGGCGGAAUUCCCGGUGUAGCGGUGGAAUGCGUAGAUAUCGGGAGGAACACCAGUGGCGAAGGCGGCCUACUGGGCACCAACUGACGCUGAGGCUCGAAAGUGUGGGUAGCAAACAGGAUUAGAUACCCUGGUAGUCCACACCGUAAACGAUGAUUACUAGGUGUUGGAGGAUUGACCCCUUCAGUGCCGCAGUUAACACAAUAAGUAAUCCACCUGGGGAGUACGACCGCAAGGUUGAAACUCAAAGGAAUUGACGGGGGCC